GGGUUGUGAGGUUAAGCGACUAAGCGUACACGGUGGAUGCCUAGGCAGUCAGAGGCGAUGAAGGGCGUGCUAAUCUGCGAUAAGCGUCGGUAAGCUGAUAUGAAGCGUUAUACCCGACGAUACCCGAAUGGGGAAACCCAGUGUGUUUCGACACACUAUCAUUACGUGAAUACAUAGCGUAAUGAGGCGAACCGGGGGAACUGAAACAUCUCAGUACCCCGAGGAAAAGAAAUCAACCGAGAUUCCCCUAGUAGCGGCGAGCGAACGGGGAGGAGCCCAGAACCUGAAUCAGUUUGUGUGUUAGUGGAAGCGUCUGGAAAGUCGCACAGUAAAGGGUGAUAGUCCCGUACACAAAAAUGCACAGAUUGUGAGUUCGAUGAGUAGGGCGGGACACGUGACAUCCUGUCUGAAUAUGGGGGGACCAUCCUCCAAGGCUAAAUACUCCUGACUGACCGAUAGUGAACCAGUACCGUGAGGGAAAGGCGAAAAGAACCCCGGCGAGGGGAGUGAAAUAGAACCUGAAACCGUGUACGUACAAGCAGUGGGAGCCUUGAUUAAUCAGGGUGACUGCGUACCUUUUGUAUAAUGGGUCAGCGACUUAUAUUCUGUAGCAAGGUUAACCGUAUAGGGGAGCCGCAGGGAAACCGAGUCUUAACUGGGCGUUAAGUUGCAGGGUAUAGACCCGAAACCCGGUGAUCUAGCCAUGGGCAGGUUGAAGGUUGGGUAACACUAACUGGAGGACCGAACCGACUAAUGUUGAAAAAUUAGCGGAUGACUUGUGGCUGGGGGUGAAAGGCCAAUCAAACCGGGAGAUAGCUGGUUCUCCCCGAAAGCUAUUUAGGUAGCGCCUCGUGAAUUCAUCUUCGGGGGUAGAGCACUGUUUCGGCUAGGGGGUCAUCCCGACUUACCAACCCGAUGCAAACUACGAAUACCGAAGAAUGUUAUCACGGGAGACACACGGCGGGUGCUAACGUUCGUCGUGAAGAGGGAAACAACCCAGACCGCCAGCUAAGGUCCCAAAGUCAUGGUUAAGUGGGAAACGAUGUGGGAAGGCACAGACAGCCAGGAUGUUGGCUUAGAAGCAGCCAUCAUUUAAAGAAAGCGUAAUAGCUCACUGGUCGAGUCGGCCUGCGCGGAAGAUGUAACGGGGCUAAACCAUGCACCGAAGCUGCGGCAGCGACACUUAGGUGUUGUUGGGUAGGGGAGCGUUCUGUAAGCCGUCGAAGGUGGCCUGUGAGGGUUGCUGGAGGUAUCAGAAGUGCGAAUGCUGACAUAAGUAACGAUAAUGCGGGUGAAAAACCCGCACGCCGGAAGACCAAGGGUUCCUGUCCAACGUUAAUCGGGGCAGGGUGAGUCGACCCCUAAGGCGAGGCUGAAAAGCGUAGUCGAUGGGAAACAGGUUAAUAUUCCUGUACUCGGUGUUACUGCGAAGGGGGGACGGAGAAAGCUAGGUUAUCCGGGCGACGGUUGUCCCGGUUUAAGCGUGAAGGUGGAUGACUUUGGUAAAUCCGGGUCGUCAUUAACACUGAGGCGUGAUGACGAGUCACUACGGUGAUGAAGUAACCAAUGCUACGCUUCCAGGAAAAGCCUCUAAGCUCCAGGUAACAUCAAAUCGUACCCCAAACCGACACAGGUGGUCAGGUAGAGAAUACUCAGGCGCUUGAGAGAACUCGGGUGAAGGAACUAGGCAAAAUGGUGCCGUAACUUCGGGAGAAGGCACGCUGAUGGUAGGUGAAGUGACUUGCUCACGGAGCUGAAAUCAGUCGAAGAUACCAGCUGGCUGCAACUGUUUAAUAAAAACACAGCACUGUGCAAACACGAAAGUGGACGUAUACGGUGUGACGCCUGCCCGGUGCCGGAAGGUUAAUUGAUGGGGUCAGCCGCAAGGCGAAGCUCUUGAUCGAAGCCCCGGUAAACGGCGGCCGUAACUAUAACGGUCCUAAGGUAGCGAAAUUCCUUGUCGGGUAAGUUCCGACCUGCACGAAUGGCGUAAUGAUGGCCAGGCUGUCUCCACCCGAGACUCAGUGAAAUUGAACUCGCUGUGAAGAUGCAGUGUACCCGCGGCAAGACGGAAAGACCCCGUGAACCUUUACUAUAGCUUGACACUGAACCUUGAGCCUUGAUGUGUAGGAUAGGUGGGAGGCUUUGAAGCGUGGACGCCAGUCUGCGUGGAGCCAACCUUGAAAUACCACCCUUUAAUGUUUGAUGUUCUAACGUGGGCCCGUGAUCCGGGUUGCGGACAGUGUCUGGUGGGUAGUUUGACUGGGGCGGUCUCCUCCCAAAGCGUAACGGAGGAGCACGAAGGUUAGCUAAUCCUGGUCGGACAUCAGGAGGUUAGUGCAAAGGCAUAAGCUAGCUUGACUGCGAGAGUGACAGCUCGAGCAGGUGCGAAAGCAGGUCUUAGUGAUCCGGUGGUUCUGAAUGGAAGGGCCAUCGCUCAACGGAUAAAAGGUACUCCGGGGAUAACAGGCUGAUACCGCCCAAGAGUUCAUAUCGACGGCGGUGUUUGGCACCUCGAUGUCGGCUCAUCACAUCCUGGGGCUGAAGUAGGUCCCAAGGGUAUGGCUGUUCGCCAUUUAAAGUGGUACGCGAGCUGGGUUUAGAACGUCGUGAGACAGUUCGGUCCCUAUCUGCCGUGGGCGUUGGAAGAUUGAGAGGGGUUGCUCCUAGUACGAGAGGACCGGAGUGAACGCACCACUGGUGUUCGGGUUGUGAUGCCAAUUGCAUUGCCCGGUAGCUAAGUGCGGAAGAGAUAACCGCUGAAAGCAUCUAAGCGGGAAACUUGCCUCGAGAUGAGUCUUCCCUGGG
rnacentral:rRNA from 1 species